rnacentral:rRNA from 1 species
GUUUGUCCCAGCAGCCCGGAAUACAGAGGGUGCUAGCGUUAAUCGGAUUUACUGGGCGUAAAGCGUGCGUAGGCGGCUGAUUAAGUCGGAUGUGAAAUCCCUGAGCUUAACUUAGGAAUUGCAUUCGAUACUGGUCAGCAAGAGUAUGGGAGAGGAUGGUAGAAUUCCAGGUGUAGCGGUGAAAUGCGUAGAGAUCUGGAGGAAUACCUGAUGGCGUAGGCAGCCAUCUGGCCUAAUACUGACGCUGAGGUCCGAAAGCAUGGGGAGCAAACAGGAUUAGAUACCCUGGUAGUCCAUGCCGUAAACGAUGU